rnacentral:rRNA from 1 species
UACAGCGGGGGCAAGCGUUGUUCGGAAUUACUGGGCGUAAAGCGCGCGUAGGCGGCUUUGCAAGUCGGGUGUGAAAUCCCCAGGCUUAACCUGGGAACUGCAUUCGAGACUGCAUUGCUAGAGUAUGGGAGAGGGAAGUGGAAUUUCCGGUGUAGCGGUGAAAUGCGUAGAUAUCGGAAGGAACAUCAGUGGCGAAAGCGACUUCCUGGACCAAUACUGACGCUCAUGUGCGAAAGCGUGGGGAGCAAACAGG